GCGGGCGUAGCCGAAUUGGUACAGGCGCACGGCUUAGGACCGUGUGGCGCAAGCCAUAAGGGUUCGAGUCCCUUCGCCCGCA
rnacentral:tRNA from 1 species